GAUGAACGCUAGCUACAGGCUUAACACAUGCAAGUCGAGGGGCAGCGGGAUUGAAGCUUGCUUCAAUUGCCGGCGACCGGCGCACGGGUGAGUAACGCGUGAGGAACCUGCCUCAAAGAGGGGGACAACAGUUGGAAACGACUGCUAAUACCGCAUAAGCCCACAGCUCGGCAUCGAGCAGAGGGAAAAGGAGUGAUCCGCUUUGAGAUGGCCUCGCGUCCGAUUAGCUGGUUGGUGAGGUAACGGCCCACCAAGGCGACGAUCGGUAGCCGGACUGAGAGGUUGAACGGCCACAUUGGGACUGAGACACGGCCCAG
rnacentral:rRNA from 1 species